rnacentral:sRNA from 1 species
AACAUAACAUUUCUUGAUAUUAAUUUUUUUCAAAAAUGUGCGACUAAUCGAAAAAAUAAAACCAUUUAACGAAGGGGAUAAUGACUUAUGAAAACGACCAAAUCAGUCAUUACAAUUUUAUUACUCUAGAAGGACUUUGAGCACUGUAGAAAUUUACAGUAGUUUGAGUCCUGUUUACGUUAAAUGGGAUUCUAGCAAAGCAUCCCAUUGUUUUCAUCAUUGGGGUGCUUUUUCUUUAGCUAGAUU